AAGCGGGAAGCCCCCUUCAAGAUAAGUUUUCCCUGGGAAUUUAAUUCCCCUAAAGAGCCGUUAAAGACUAUGACGUUGAUAGGCUGGGUGUGUAAGUGCGGUAACGUAUUGAGCUAACCAGUACUAAUUGCUCGUGAGGCUUAACUAUAUAACGCCCAAG
rnacentral:rRNA from 1 species